rnacentral:rRNA from 1 species
AUUGAACGCUGGCGGCAGCCCUAACACAUGCAAGUCGAGCGAGCGGCUGCCGGGUGACUAAUGUAUGCGGAGCUGCCCGAUAGACGGGUAUACCUACUGGACACGGUCGCUAAUACCUCAUACUAUCGGAUGAACCCAUAUGGGAUUAGCUAGUAGGUGGGGUAAAGGCUCACCUAGGCGACGAUCUCUAGCUGGUCUGAGAGGAUGACCAGCCACACUGGGACUGAGACACGGCCCAGACGCCUACGGGAGGAAGCAGUGGGGAAUAUUGCACAAGGGGCGCAAGCCUGAUGCAGCCAUGCCGCUUGUAUGAAGAAGGCCUUAGGGUUGUAAAGUACUUUCAGCGGGGAGGCGUUACCCGCAGAAGAAGCACCGGCUAACUCCGUGCCAGCAGCCGCGGUAAUUC